rnacentral:rRNA from 1 species
UGCGUAGGUGGGCUCGCCAGUCAGGGGUGAAAGCCUCCAGCUCAACUGGAGAAGUGCCUUUGAUACUGCGAGCCUCGAGGGAGGUAGGGCGUGCGGAACUUCCGGUGGAGCGGUGAAAUGCGUAGAUAUCGGAAGGAACACCGGUGGCGAAAGCGGCGCGCUGGACCUCUUCUGACGCUGAGGCGCGAAAGCCAGGGGAGCAAACG